rnacentral:rRNA from 1 species
UACGUAGGGGCAAGCGUUGUCCGGAUUUAUUGGGCGUAAAGAGCGUGUAGGCGGCCAUACAGGUCAGCUGUGAAAACUCGAGGCUCAACCUCGAGACGUCGGUUGAAACCGUAUGGCUAGAGUCCGGAAGAGGAGAGUGGAAUUCCCGGUGUAGCGGUGAAAUGCGCAGAUAUCAGGAGGAACACCGAUGGCGAAGGCAGGUCUCUGGGCCACUACUGACGCUGAGAAGCGAAAGCAUGGGGAGCGAACAGG